rnacentral:rRNA from 1 species
UACGAGGGGGCAAAUGUUGUUCGGAAUCACUGGGCGUAAAGGGAGCGUAGGCGGGUUUCUAAGUCAGGUGUUUAAUCCCGGGGCCCAACCCCGGACAGGCACUUGAAACUGGGAAUCUUGAAUAGUGGAGAGGUCAGUGGAAUUGGGGGUGUAGCGGUGGAAUGCGUAGAGAUCGGGAGGAAGGCCGGUGGCGAAGGCGGCGCUCUGGAACAUUUCUGACGCUGAGGCUCGAAAGCGUGGGGAGCAAACAGG